rnacentral:lncRNA from 1 species
ACGGAGGGAGUAGUUCAUACAAGAUUCAGUAACAAUAUAGAAGGCAAACCAAAAAGUAGCCUUUUGCAACGUUUAAUCUCUUAUGUAUGUUUCACAAGAUCAUUUUUGUGCAAAAACUAUUGCGCCUUGGGUGUAGUCGUCAGAGUCGUGGUUGAUUUCAUCCGCAAAGGAUUCAAAUUCUCAUGUUCAUAUAGGAGUAUUAUAAAAAAAGAUCAAACAUUGCGUUUAUGGCUAGCUGAUGUGGAUGGUCUAAUAUUAAAAAAAUAAGCUAGAUGGAGUGUGGAGACAACAUCUAAAUCCGAAGUUGGAAAAUGAUGAUACAAAAUCAAAUUUAUUGCAAAUAAAUACUUUGACUAUUAUCCCUUGUGUACACACGUCAUGGAAAGCUUAGUGGUUUG